GGUGGCGGAAACCUACAUACCUUCAUAAAACGCCAGAAGAAGAACGCGUGCGACGUCACGUGAUGUCCCGGAAGUAAAACAGCUUUAGAUGAUGUCAUGAAACUUGCGACAAUUGUCUGUUCUUUUCGUUUUUAAAAAAACGAUACUUAUUCAUUUAAUUUAUUUAGAUUACAUACUGUAUACAAUGAGGAUACUGUAUGUCAUUUGACCAUCAAGACCAACUCUUUGAAUGUUUAGUGUACGUUUUGGUUCAUUUCUGUGCGCUUUUGUUUAACUCUGCUUUUGGCGCUCAUAUUUCACUGUGAAAAUGCUUUAAAACCAGUGCAUCGUAGGUAUAUGUUAAGAUGCGUUCAUGAAUAUACUGUGGCUUAGGUUUAAAAUCUCAAUAUUGUAUCUCAGAUCCGGAGUCUUGUGUCGCUGAGUUUGUCUGUCAAUGGAAAGUGAAAAACACACCGAGUGGAGUUCGGCUUUAGAUGAAGACUUAAUUCAGGAUGCCGUUUCUGCUGUGAUUCCUCCGGGUCCUUCUCCAUGGAGCCUAUCAUCCGGGCCCUGGUCCACUGAGAGCAGCGUCCCAGCAGUAUUAAAUCAAUAUGCUGAAGCGCAAAAUUACAGCAGUUUUAUCCCCAGCAAUGAAACACAAAGCCAACCCGUACAGGUCUUUAGAACCUCCUAAUGACACAUUUCACAAAAGUGAUUAUUUAAAUGUAGUUUUAUGUAGUUUGAUUGUUGUCUCACACCGUAGGCGGAGGACUGGAAUGAGGAAAGAUCUACAAACACAAAUGAGGACUGGGAAUCAGACAUGGUAAGUUUUGGUUUUGUGUGUUUGCAGGUGUAUGUGUUUGUGUGUUCUGAUGAUCGUCACAGUGUGGGGACAAAAAUCUGUUUACGGUUACAUCAUGGGGACCAAAAAUCAGGUCUCCACAAGGGAAACCCAUUUAAAUGAAUAGAGGAGCUAUUCUGAAGUUGCUGGUGAAGUUUUUUUUUUUUU
rnacentral:lncRNA from 1 species